CCUACGGGUGGCAGCAGUGAGGAAUAUUGGUCAAUGGGCGGAAGCCUGAACCAGCCAAGUCGCGUGAGGGAGUAAGGCCCUACGGGUCGUAAACCUCUUUUGCCGGGGAGCAGUGCCCAGCUCGUGAGCUGGGAGGGAGCGUACCCGGAGAAAAAGCAUCGGCUAACUCCGUGCCAGCAGCCGCGGUAAUACGGAGGAUGCGAGCGUUAUCCGGAUUUAUUGGGUUUAAAGGGUGCGUAGGCGGAUUUUUAAGUCAGCGGUAAAAUGUCCGGGCUCAACCCGGGCCGGCCGUUGAAACUGGGGAUCUUGAGUGGGCGAGAAGUAUGCGGAAUGCGUGGUGUAGCGGUGAAAUGCAUAGAUAUCACGCAGAACUCCGAUUGCGAAGGCAGCAUACCGGCGCCCGACUGACGCUGAGGCACGAAAGCGUGGGGAUCGAACAGGAUUAGAUACCCUGGUAGUC
rnacentral:rRNA from 1 species